ACCUGGGUGGCUCAAUCGGUUGAGCAUCCGACUUCGGCUCAGGUCAUGAUCUCACAGUUUGUGGGUUCGAGUCCCGCAUCAGGCU
rnacentral:tRNA from 1 species